rnacentral:tRNA from 1 species
GAAGGCAUAGCUCAGUGGUAGAGUGCAUGCUUAGCAUACACAGGAUCCUGGGUUCAAUCCCCAGGACCUCCA